rnacentral:rRNA from 1 species
UUAGCACAGGGACACAUAGAGAUAUCCGAACCCGGGCGUUGGUUGACCCGGGCGCAAGGGACCGAACAUCAGUAGGGAAGUCGGAGAUGCUCUGUGGCGAGAAAAGCUGUGUGUAUUGAUUAGGCGCCCGUACCGCAAACCGACACAGGUAGAUGAGGAGAGAAUCCUAAGGCCAACGGGAGAAGGGUUGUUAAGGAACUCGGCAAAUUGACCCCGUAACUUCGGGAUAAGGGGAGCCUCCUACGGGAGGCCGCAGUGAAUAGGCCCAAGCAACUGUUUACCAAAAACACAGGUCUCUGCUAAAUCGAAAGAUGACGUAUAGGGGCUGACGCCUGCCCGGUGCCGGAAGGUUAAGAGGAGAGCUUAGCGCAAGCGAAGGUUCGAAUUGAAGCCCCGGUAAACGGCGGCCGUAACUAUAACGGUCCUAAGGUAGCGAAAUUCCUUGUCAGGUAAGUUCUGACCCGCACGAAUGGCGCAAUGAUUUGGGCACUGUCUCAACAGCCCGCCCGGCGAAAUUGUAGUACUGGUGAAGAUGCCAGUUACCCGCAACUAGACGGAAAGACCCCAUGGAGCUUUACUGUAGCCUAAUACUGAAGAUCGGUAAUGCAUGUACAGGAUAGGUGGGAGCCAGCGAAACCCGGGCGUCAGCUCGGAUGGAGGCAACCUUGGAAUACCACCCUUGUAUUGCUGGUUUUCUAACCUGCGGCCAUGAAUCUGGUCGGGGGACACUGUUAGGUGGGCAGUUUGACUGGGGCGGUCGCCUCCAAAAGCGUAACGGAGGCGCUCAAAGGUUGGCUCAGCACGGACGGAAAUCGUGCAUAGAGUGCAAACGCAUAAGCCAACUUGACUGCGAGACCGACGGGUCGAGCAGGUACGAAAGUAGGAGUUAGUGAUCCGGUGGUAUGUGAGUGGAAAUGCCAUCGCUCAACGGAUAAAAGCUACCCUGGGGAUAACAGGCUGAUCUCCCCCAAGCGUCCACAGCGACGGGGAGGUUUGGCACCUCGAUGUCGGCUCGUCACAUCCUGGGGCUGUAUUCGGUCCCAAGGGUUCGGCUGUUCGCCGAUUAAAGUGGCACGCGAGCUGGGUUCAGAACGUCGUGAGACAGUUCGGUCCCUAUCUGUUGCGGGCGCAGGAGAUUUGAAGGGAGCUGUCCUUAGUACGAGAGGACCGGGAUGGACAGACCUCUGGUGCACCAGUUGUCGUGCCAACGGCACAGCUGGGUAGCUACGUCUGGACGAGAUAAACGCUGAAAGCAUCUAAGUGUGAAACUCCCCCUAAGAUAAGAUCUCCCAUCCAUUAGGAGUAAGGGACGACAGAGACUAUGUCGUUGAUAGGUCGGAAGUGUAAGUGCAGUAAUGCAUUGAGCUGACCGAUACUAAUAACCCGAGGGCUUGA